AGGGAAUCUUGCGCAAUGGGCGAAAGCCUGACGGAGUGACGCCGCGUGUGGGACGAAGGCCUUCGGGUCGUAAACCACUGUCAGUGGGAAAGAUGGAUGCCGGCGUGAUAACCGCUGGCAUCUGACGGUACCUGCAGAGGAAGCCCCGGCUAACUCUGUGCCAGCCGCCGCGGUAAUACGGGGGGGGCGAGCGUUGUUCGGAAUUACUGGGCGUAAAGGGCGCGUAGGCGGACCGAGAAGUUUUGGGUGAAAGCCCCGGGCUCAACCCGGGAAGGUCCUGAAAAACCAUUGGUCUGGAGUGCUGGAGAGGCAAGCGGAAUUUCUGGUGUAGCGGUGAAAUGCGUAGAUAUCAGAAGGAAGACCGGAGGCGAAGGCGGCUUGCUGGACAGCAACUGACGCUGAGGCGCGAAAGCCAGGGGAGCAA
rnacentral:rRNA from 1 species